GUGAGGAAUAUUGGGCAAUGGCCGAAAGGCUGACCCAGCAACGCCGCGUGAGGGAUGAAGCUCUAAGGAGUGUAAACCUCUUUCGGGAGGGAAGAACCUUCCGCCGAUGAAUAAUCUGUGGAACUGACGGUACCUCCUAAAGAAGCCCCGGCUAACUCCGUGCCAGCAGCCGCGGUAAUACGGGGGGGGCUAGCGUUGUCCGGAAUUAUUGGGCGUAAAGGGCGCGUAGGCGGAAUGGUAAGUCAGUGGUGAAAAUCCAGGGCUCAACCCUGGACCUGCCUUUGAUACUGCCAUUCUUGAGUGCGAGAGAGGAAAGUGGAAUUCCCGGUGUAGCGGUGAAAUGCGUAGAUAUCGGGAAGAACACCGGUAGCGAAGGCGGCUUUCUGGCUCGCAACUGACGCUGAGGCGCGAAAGCGUGGGGAGCAAACAGG
rnacentral:rRNA from 1 species